UAGUGGCAUACGGGUGCGUAACACGUGAGCAACCUGCCUUGAAGUGGGGAAUAGCGCGGGGAAACCCGGAUUAAUACCGCAUGUGGUCUCUUUUCGCAUGAAAAGACGACUAAAGUUUGUAAUGACUCCUCAAGAGGGGCUCGCGGCCUAUCAUGUUUUAGGUGAGGUAAAGGCUCACCAAGGCAAAGACGGGUAGCUGGUCUGAGAGGAUGAUCAGCCACACUGGAACUGAGAUACGGUCCAGACACCUACGGGUGGCAGCAGUUUCGAAUCAUUCACAAUGGGGGAAACCCUGAUGGUGCAACGCCGCGUGGAGGAUGACGGCCUUCGGGUUGUAAACUCCUGUCACCAAGGAACAAACGGCAGGUUCAUAGCCUGUCCUGAGUUAACUUGGAGAGGAAGAGGUGGCUAACUCCGUGCCAGCAGCCGCGGUAAUACGGAGACCUCGAGCGUUACUCGGAUUCACUGGGCGUAAAGAGUAUGUAGGCGGUUUGGUAUGUCAGGUGUGAAAGCCCGAAGCUCAACUUCGGAAUUGCGCCUGAAACUACCGGACUUGAGGCCUGGAGAGGGGAGUGGAAUUCCUGGUGUAGCGGUGAAAUGCGUAGAUAUCAGGAGGAACACCAAUGGCGAAGGCAGCUCCCUGGACAGGUUCUGACGCUGAGAUACGAAAGCGUGGGUAGCGAAAGGGAUUAGAUACCCCUGUAGUCCACGCCGUAAACGUUGUACACUAGGUUUCGGAGGGCCUACCCCUUCGGGAGCUCAAGCUAAACGCGAUAAGUGU
rnacentral:rRNA from 1 species